rnacentral:rRNA from 1 species
AUUGAACGCUGGCGGCAGGCCUAACACAUGCAAGUCGAGCGGAUGAAGGGAGCUUGCUCCUGGAUUCAGCGGCGGACGGGUGAGUAAUGCCUAGGAAUCUGCCUGGUAGUGGGGGAUAACGUCCGGAAACGGGCGCUAAUACCGCAUACGUCCUGAGGGAGAAAGUGGGGGAUCUUCGGACCUCACGCUAUCAGAUGAGCCUAGGUCGGAUUAGCUAGUUGGUGGGGUAAAGGCCUACCAAGGCGACGAUCCGUAACUGGUCUGAGAGGAUGAUCAGUCACACUGGAACUGAGACACGGUCCAGACUCCUACGGGAGGCAGCAGUGGGGAAUAUUGGACAAUGGGCGAAAGCCUGAUCCAGCCAUGCCGCGUGUGUGAAGAAGGUUUUCGGAUUGUAAAGCACUUUAAGUUGGGAGGAAGGGCAGUAAGUUAAUACCUUGCUGUUUUGACGUUACCAACAGAAUAAGCACCGACUAACUUCGUG